UGUCAACUUAAUUAAACACGUAUAUUAAUAGAGCGCAGUUUUCAGGUCGGUCAAACACACAGGACUGAUUAGCUCAGAAAAUGCUCGUCCAAGUAUCGUUAGUUAUCGCGAGUCUUGUUGCUUUUAACGGCAUCACCACAGAGGGCGCUGUGUCUAUAGGAGUAGGUGAAUGUCCAGAUGGUCACAAACCUGGAGAGUCCUGGUACCCCUGCAGGAUGCCAGAAAUGUGACUGCCAUGAGAACCGAUACACCUGUUACACCUGUGGCGUGUACGCCCUAGAGCUCAACACGACAGUGUGCUACCACUACAGGGAUGAAAGCAAACCUUACCCAGACUGCUGUACGCCCAUCACCAAGUGCCAGGGAGACGAAGGCUUCGAUGCCAGCAUGCUACAGAUCGUUGGGAAAUAGACCUGUGACCUCUCCUGUCAAGGGAAAUAGACCUGUGACCUCACCUGUCAAGGGAAAUAGACCUGUGACCUCACCUGUCAAGGGAAAACGUUGGUUGGGGAAUAGGUCAUACCUGUGAUCCGGAGAA